rnacentral:rRNA from 1 species
UACGUAGGGGGCAAGCGUUGUCCGGAUUUAUUGGGCGUAAAGAGCGUGUAGGCGGCCAGGUAGGUCUGGUGUGAGAACUCGAGGCUUAACCUUGAGAUGUCAUCGGAAACCAUUUGGCUAGAGUCCGGAAGAGGAAAGUGGAAUUCCUGGUGUAGCGGUGAAAUGCGCAGAUAUCAGGAAGAACACCAAUGGCGGAAGCAGCUUUCUGGGACGGUACUGACGCUGAGACGCGAAAGCGUGGGGAGCGAACAGG